AGUGAACGCUGGCGGUAGGCCUAACACAUGCAAGUCGAACGGCAGCACAGUAAGAGCUUGCUCUUACGGGUGGCGAGUGGCGGACGGGUGAGGCAUACAUCGGAAUCUACUUUUUCGUGGGGGAUAACGUAGGGAAACUUACGCUAAUACCGCAUACGACCUACGGGUGAAAGCAGGGGAUCUUCGGACUUUGCGUGAUCGAAUGAGCGGAUGUCGGAUUAGCUAGUUGGCGGGGUAAAGGCCCACCAAGGCGACGAUCUGUAGCUGGUCUGAGAGGAGGAUCAGCCACACUGGAACUGAGACACGGUCCAGACUCCUACGGGAGGCAGCAGUGGGGAAUAUUGGACAAUGGGCGGAAGCCUGAUCCAGCCAUACCGCGUGGGUGAAGAAGGCCUUCGGGUUGUAAAGCCCUUUUGUUGGGAAAGAAAAGCAGCCGGAUAAUACCCCGCUGUUCUGACGGUACCCAAUGAAUAAGCACCGGCUAACUUCGUG
rnacentral:rRNA from 1 species